CCCUUAGAUGUUCUGGGCUGCACGCGCGCUACACUGAUGCACUCAACGAGUUUACGACCUUGCCCGAUAGGGUUGGGUAAUCUUUUUAAAAUGCAUCGUGAUGGGGAUAGAUUAUUGCAAUUAUUAAUCUUCAACGAGGAAUUCCUAGUAAGCGCGAGUCAUCAGCUCGUGCUGAUUACGUCCCUGUCCUUUGUACACACCGCCCGUCGCUCCUACCGAUUGAGUGCUCAGGUGAAUAAUUCGGACUGCAGCAAUGUUUGGAUCCCGAACGUUGCAGCGGAAAGUUUAGUGAACCUUAUCACUUAGAGGAAGGAGAAGUCGUAACA
rnacentral:rRNA from 1 species